rnacentral:rRNA from 1 species
GAAACGGGUUAAUAUUCCCGUACUGGUGAUAAUUGCGAUGGGGGGACGGAGAAGGCUAGGCUAUCCGGGCGACGGUUGUCCCGGUUUAAGAAUGUAGGCAGGUGAAUUAGGCAAAUCCGGUUCACUACAUGCUGAGGUUCGAUGACGAGUCACUACGGUGAUGAAGUAGCUCAUGCCCCGCUUCCAGGAAAAGCCUCUAAGCUCUAGAUUAUCAUUAAUCGUACCCCAAACCGACACAGGUGGUCAGGUAGAGAA